rnacentral:rRNA from 1 species
CACGUGAAAUUCCGUCGGAAUCUGGGAGGACCAUCUCCUAAGGCUAAAUACUCUCUAGUGACCGAUAGUGAACCAGUACCGUGAGGGAAAGGUGAAAAGUACCCCGGAAGGGGAGUGAAAGAGAACUUGAAACCGUGUGCUUACAAGUAGUCAGAGCCCGUUAAUGGGUGAUGGCGUGCCUUUUGUAGAAUGAACCGGCGAGUUACGAUC